CCCUAUCUCCCCACACAGCGUCGAGCUUGUUCUUCCUCUCCUCUCCCCGCCGCACACGAUUCCCCUCUUCCCGUGCCUCCUUCUCCAUCACCCCUCUCUCGGUCCCCCAUCAAGCCGAUUCGCAGAUCCCUUCUCCCGAUUCACUGUCGCCGGCGCACUCCUCUCUUUCAGAUCUGCCACCAUCGUCUCUGACCAAGAGCGAGGAGUCGCUGCCACCCUUUGUCAUUGCUUCGACGUCAUCGCUGAUGGGAAGAGGAGCUAUGAGGGCACUUCGUCGCAUCCAAUUCCACCUCUUUAAUCGAACCCUAGUCGUCUAUUCACAACCGGCCAAGCAUGCUAAAUAACUGCUAGAAGUCACCGAUCGAGUCCGAUCUGCGCUCGACAUCACCAUCGCCUUCUCGAGCCCUAGCUUCAAUUCAUUGUCGCAACCCUCUUCUUGGUUUGAUUUCGCGGUGGAUUGGCCUAGUGUCGAUGUCACAAUAUCCUUUGCCCCGACUCAUCAUCACAACAGCUGUUAGCCUUCAUCCGAGGGUGGUUACAUUUGGUCUCGGUAGCAAACAUAUCUUCGGUUGUGGAUCACCACCUGAUCUUCCGAGUUUAGGACUUUGAUGCGAGACAAGCAUCUCGACGUGGGAUUAUUUAUCACGAUCGUCAGAUAAAAGCGGGUAGUAGGUAGAUGAAACAAGGAUGCUUGGAGAGUCCUAGCUGCCAGUCCCACUACACUCUCGAGGGUGGAUUUCUUUUCGGACUUAUUUUUGUUUGGAUGAUAUAUUAAAUUUGCGUAUUUGCUUUCUAACUAGUUGAUGUGAAUUUGGUUAAGAUUGCAUCGGGUUUCGUUUAUUCUUUACUCAUAUUUUGUAUUUAGUGUUAUAUUAAUUCGAUUUUUCCUUGGAGUUUA